rnacentral:rRNA from 1 species
UCUGGGACAAGCCCUGGAAACGGGGUCUAAUACCGGAUAACACUCUGUCCCGCAUGGGACGGGGUUAAAAGCUCCGGCGGUGAAGGAUGAGCCCGCGGCCUAUCAGCUUGUUGGUGGGGUGAUGGCCUACCAAGGCGACGACGGGUAGCCGGCCUGAGAGGGCGACCGGCCACACUGGGACUGAGACACGGCCCAGACUCCUACGGGAGGCAGCAGUGGGGAAUAUUGCACAAUGGGCGAAAGCCUGAUGCAGCGACGCCGCGUGAGGGAUGACGGCCUUCGGGUUGUAAACCUCUUUCAGCAGGGAAGAAGCGAGAGUGACGGUACCUGCAGAAGAAGCGCCGGCUAACUACGUGCCAGCAGCCGCGGUAAUACGUAGGGCGCAAGCGUUGUCCGGAAUUAUUGGGCGUAAAGAGCUCGUAGGCGGCUUGUUGCGUCGGUUGUGAAAGCCCGGGGCUUAACCCCGGGUCUGCAGUCGAUACGGGCAGGCUAGAGUGUGGUAGGGGAGAUCGGAAUUCCUGGUGUAGCGGUGAAAUGCGCANAUAUCAGGAGGAACACCGGUGGCGAAGGCGGAUCUCUGGGCCAUUACUGACGCUGAGGAGCGAAAGCGUGGGGAGCGAACAGGAUUAGAUACCCUGGUAGUCCACGCCGUAAACGUUGGGAACUAGGUGUUGGCGACAUUCCACGUCGUCGGUGCCGCAGCUAACGCAUUAAGUUCCCCGCCUGG